rnacentral:rRNA from 1 species
CGGGAUGAAGGUUUCACAAAACUAAAUUUUUUAUUAUAGUUCAGAGUAAUUUGGGUUGUGAGUAAAAAUUCUUACAGGGGUUUAAGGGGCGAUAAGACCCUAGCAGCUUUAUUUGGUUUUAGAUUUAGGGGUUAUAAAAAGUAUAUUUAAAAAAAAUUUUAACUGGGGUAGUUAUUUCUAAGAAAUGGAAAGUUAAACGAAACGUAAGGGUCUUGGCCCUUAAAAUUAGGGUGAUUGGAGAAAGUUACUUUAGGGUUAACAGUGUAAUAAUUUUGGAAAGGCCUUAUUGAUAAAAUUGAUUGCAACCUCGAUGUUGAAUUAGAAAAUCGGCUUCAGGGAGAAUGGAGGUUUGACGGUUUGUUCAACCGUUAAUUUUCUACAUGAUUU